ensembl:lncRNA
CGACAGAGAGGCCUUAUACAUGAAAACACAGACUGCUGUGUAGACACUGUUGUUUGAAGGUGGAAAUGCUCAGCCAUGGCGAUGACUGCUUAUUUCACUCAUGAAUGUCUUCCAGCAUAUCAAAAACACCAUAUGGACACAUUAACAAGAGAGCCAAAGAUCCAUCAGUGUGUCAGUCUGUUCACACCCACCAAGAGCUCAGGGGAGUUCGAAUCAGCCUCAUUAAUCAGAAACACCUGUGUGGGAGCGCUAAAUGUGGCUCCGCUCCAGCCUCCAGUCAGUGGGACUCAGGCAGCCCUCACACUCCUCCUCUAAGUUAGCUGCAUACAUACCUGCGUUCACAUGAAAGGAGUGCUGUGGACAACUCAAACUCAUGGAACAUAAAGGUGACGUGAAGAAAGCAUGGACAAUUGCCAAUAUGAAUG